rnacentral:rRNA from 1 species
UCAAGAAACUUCCACAAUGGGCGAAAGCCUGAUGGAGCGACGUCGCGUGAUGGACGAAGUGCUUCGGCACGUAAACAUCUUUUAUGUGGGAUGAAAUUAUUGACAGUACCACAUGAAUAAGGGGCUCCUAACUCUGUGCCAGCAGGAGCGGUAAUACAGAGGCCCCAAGCGUUAUCCGGAAUCACUGGGCGUAAAGGGUGUCGAGGCGGUUGUAUUAGUCGUUCGUAAAAUCUACGAGCUUAACUUGUAGGCGGCGAACGAAACGGUACGACUUGAGGUUUGGAGAGGUGCGUGGAACUCACGGUGUAGGGGUGAAAUCCGUUGAUAUCGUGGGGAACACCAAAGGCGAAGGCAGCGCACUGGCCAAAAUCUGACGCUCACACACGAAAGCUAGGGUAGCGAAGAGGAUUAGAUACCCAUGUAGUCCCUG